UACGUAGGGGGCAAGCGUUGUCCGGAAUCAUUGGGCGUAAAGAGCGUGUAGGCGGCCCGGUAAGUCCGCUGUGAAAGUCCAGGGCUCAACCCUGGGAUGCCGGUGGAUACUGUCGGGCUCGAGUCCGGAAGAGGAGUGUGGAAUUCCUGGUGUAGCGGUGAAAUGCGUAGAGAUCGGGAGGAACACCAGAGGCGAAAGCGGUUAACUGGGUCUAAACUGACGCUGAGGCGCGAAGGCUAGGGGAGCAAACAGG
rnacentral:rRNA from 1 species